UUUAAUAUGGCAGAUAAGUGCAAUGGAUUUAAGCCCCAUAUAUGAAGAAUAAUUCUCCUAUUAAAA
rnacentral:tRNA from 1 species